GCAGCAGAGGGGCACACCGCCGGUACCCACGGCGGGAGCGGGCCCAGCAGGGCUCGCAGCCGGAGGGCGAUAUCUGAACGGGACAAGCACAGCCGCUCCGUCCCAACCCUCCCCCGCCGACAGGGUGGAGUUGAACUUCUGUCACAUAAGUGGAAGUGGCAUAUCAUCUUUGAAGAGUGGAGCAAAGCAAGAGCAAUGUGGGCAGUACAUUCGUCUGAGUGCAAGUGUGCUCCUCCUUUUCAGUUGUAAUCAUCUGCAGUGUCUUUAAAAGAAAAACAAAACUAAACCAACUCUGUUUUGGGAAAUGUGCUGUGGUUUAAAAAGGAGGUUUUUGCUCCUCUAUGCAACACAAAAGGGGCAGGCAAAAGCCAUAGCUGAGGAAAUAUGGCAGCAGGCAGGUGCCCAUGGAUUUGAAGCUGAUAUGCACUGUAUGAGUGAAAUUGACAAGUAUAACCUGGAAACAGAAAAGGAUCCAGUAGUUAUUGUUAUUUCCACUACUGGUACUGGAGACCCACCAGACACCGCCCGCAAGCUUGUAAAGAAAAUUCAAGACACGACAUUGCCACCUGAGCAUUUCUCACAUCUCCAGUAUGGAUUGCUAGGUCUGGGAGAUUCAGAGUAUACAUUCUUCUGUAAUGGUGGAAAGACAGUAGACCGACGACUUCAAGAACUUGGAGCCCAGCACUUCUACGACACAGGAUUAGCAGAUGAUUGUGUAGGUUUGGAAUUAGUGGUUGAUCCUUGGAUUGAUGGACUUUGGCAUGCUCUCAAGGAAGUUUUCCUAUUGCAAAAAGAAAGAGAAGGCAUGAACAGUGCUGUUGAUGCUGUUUCGAACUCUCUCUCUGCAGCCCCACAUGUUGUGCAUGAACUAAACUUAAGCUCCGAAGUACAGAACUUAAAGCUAGAAGAUGAAGGAGUGAAGAGUUCUGAUGUUUUUUCACAGAAACUGGUUGACAUCAGGCUUGUGGAUUCAAAUAGAGACACUGAAGCUUCACUUGUUCAUUCUGUCCCUCCUAUCUCUGAGUCUGCUCUUAAUAUUCCUGCCUUGCCACCAGAAUAUAUAGAAGUGCAGUUUCAGGACACCCAUGGUGAGAAUCCACAUUUGUCCUCACUGAUUUCAGAGGGAACAGUCUUUGAAGUGCCAGUUACAAAAGCAGUCCAGCUCACUAGAGAAGAUGCAGUAAAAACAGCAUUACUCUUAGAACUUGAUAUUGCAGAUACAGUCUUUGACUACCAACCAGGAGAUGCCUUCUGUGUGAUGUGUCCCAAUAAUGUCAGUGAGGUAGAAGAACUUCUUCGCAUCUUGGAACUUUCUGAAAAAGGAGAGUACUUUGUUUGUGUAAAGGUUAAGCAGGGCACUAAAAAGAAAGGAGCAUCUCGUCCACAGCACAUCCCUGAAAGAAGCACUCUGAAAUUCAUUCUAACCUGGUGUUUGGAAAUAAGGGCAACUCCCAAAAAGGCAUUUUUGCGAGCUCUUGUAGAAUGUACGAGUGAUGUGGGAGAAAAACGGAGGCUUCAAGAGCUUUGCAGCAGGCAAGGAGCCUCUGAUUACACACGCUUUAUUAGAGAUCCCAGUGUUUGUUUGCUGGAUUUACUACAUGCUUUUCCAAGCUGCAAACCUUCGCUUAACGUGUUAAUUGAACAUCUUCCUAAAUUACAAGCCAGAUCCUAUUCAGCAUCAAGUUCAAACUUGUAUCAGCCAGGGAAACUGAGUUUUGUAUUUAGUAUUGUGGAGUUCGCUGCCUGUCCCACUCGACCAGUCUCACGGAGGGGAGUAUGUACAGGGUGGCUUGCGGAGUUAGUUGCCACUCAGCUGCAUGCCAACAGAAGCACUGUGGAUACAAAUGGAGGAAGCUGUUCAACUAAAAAGAUAUCUAUUUUUGCUCGUCCAAACAAUGCUUUCCACUUACCGGCAGACCCAUCUAUCCCACUCAUGAUGGUUGGUCCAGGAACAGGAAUUUCACCAUUUAUUGGUUUCCUACAGCAUAGGCAAAAGCUCAGAGAGGAACAUAUGGACUGGGAAUUUGGAGAGACAUGGCUGUUUUUCGGUUGUCGGCAUCAGAACCGAGACUAUUUGUUCAAGCAAGUUCACUAUUUAGCAUUCAUUUUGUAUUCAUGAGGAAUGCUUAUCUCUGAGCGGUUACUAAUAGUUGCUAUUGCCUUUCAGAGAUGAGCUCAGAUGUUUUCUGGAAAAUGGCACGUUAAAUCAUCUUAAGGUUUGUUUCUCAAGAGACUCUUCUUCAACUGCAGAAGUAGCCCCACCUAAAUAUGUGCAAGAUGUCAUUAGGCUUCAUGCUAAGGAAGUUGCCAGAGUCCUGCUGAAAGAGAGAGGUUACUUCUAUGUGUGUGGAGAUAAGAAGCACAUGGCUGAUGGUGUAAGUGAUGCUGUAGUGGACAUUUUAAGCAUGGAAAUGGAGGCUGACAAAUUGGAAGCAAUGAAGUUCCUGGCCACUCUUCGAGAAGCAAAACGAUAUUUGCAGGAUGUAUGGAGCUAAAUAUUUAGCAUUUCCUAUGCUUUUGUAAAACUGAAGAUUUUGUUUCACCCAUGCUUUUGAUUAAAAGCUAUUGUCAAAAGUGCUGUCUGUAGUGGCCCAAAUCUUCAUUUUCUCCACUGACCUUUCAAGCAGGAAGAUAAACGUGUUUUAAAUGACAGGAAACCAGGCUGCCUUUGGAAUUGUAUGGUGGUUUUUAACAAUGUUGCAUCAUGGAUUGUCUCAGUGCCUUGAUUCCCUCAUUUUAAUGUCAGUUUAAUGCAGAAAGUAAACACUUCUGCACUUGUACAAAUAUAAUUGUAUGUUUACAUUUUGUCAUUGCUUUUUUUUCCUAUAAUGUAUGCAUAAAUAAGCUACAGAGUAAAUACAUUACACACUGAUCUCUGCAUCAUCAAAUUCAUUACAGACUUGCCAGGACUGCCUCUGUAAACCGUUUUCUGCUCAACUUUGCGAAUAGAAUAGGAAAAGACUUUAAAACAAACAAAACACACACAAACACCAAAAAACACCCUUGGCUGAUAAACUUUGCUUUUUACCUCAAGGGAACAGGGCAGAGUCAAGUUGUAUGCUGUGCUUAUUGAACCAGUUUCACACAUCAACUCAUCCUAUUUUCGAUUGCUCCUGGGGAACAUGUAGUGUGUUGCUGAUGGCAUGGGUUUUUUUGGUAAUUAAGCCCAAGGCCACUGGUUUUGGCCUAACUGCAUUCCAGUUUUACUUUGGAACUAGAAAUGGAGUCUGGAGGUCAGCUGAGGCCUGUUCGCACAUGUGUGUGUGCAUGAGGCAACUGGGGAGAGCAGGGAUUCAGGGACAGCUACUGGGUGGACUGUGUGUCUAAGCCCAGCUACUGGUGGGAUGGGCAGUGUAUGUGCUCGUUGUUGGAAUCCACUUUAAUAUGAGGGUAGUGAGGCUCUGGAAAAGUUGCCCAAGGGAGCUGUGGCUGUCCCAUCCCUGGAAGUGUUCAAGGCCAGGUUUGAGAGGCCUUGAAGCAACCUGGUCUAGUGGAAGGUGUCCCUAACUGUGGCAGAGGGGUUGGAAAUAGAUGAUCUUGAAGGUCACUUCCACCCAAAUAGUCUAUGAUUCCAUGUAUGUAUGUAUAUAUUUCCCACCAGACCUUUAGCCUGGUCAGCUGGAGGGAGGGACAACUGGUUGGAUCUGGGAUCACUCCCAAUUCAGGUGUAAAUGUGUAUACUGGGGAAUGUCCUUGCCCUCAAAGAAUGCAGUUUUAAAUAAAAUCCCAAGCCCACAUUUGCCAAAAACUUGGUGUGUAUCUGUUUGUUUGUUGUUUUUUUGUUUGGUUUCGUGCUUUGGUUUGUUUCAUGCUUCAUUACCUGGUAUUUAGUGCAUCCACUGUAACUGAAGAUGAGGCCAUGUAUAUUUUUCUACAGGUGAAGUCACACACAGAUUUCGAAGUAGAGGUGUUGUGCCUGCUCCCUCUGCCCCGACUGCCCAUGUGCAUAGGGGUAAACAGAAAUUCAGUGGAAGUCAUAAACAAUUUCUCACUCGUGUGACAUCCUUUUUACUCUCCAGCUACUCUCAGUGUAGCUGUAUGGCUGGUGAUUAACACAUCAGCUGCUGCAACCACGUCUUAAGCCACCAUCUCUUAACCCACUAUGGUGGGUUAUAAUGCCUUUUUUCCCAAACCGCUCCCUCUAUCUGUGCCAGUCAUGCUGGGUGUCUCAGCAGACAGCAUCAGACGUGGCAGUACCUGCUGUGCCCUUAAGCAGAUUCCAGCCCAGAGGUCUCUGAAGCCCAGGUUCUGUUUGGCUUAUACACAGCAACAUGCUGAAAUCAGGUUGUGGGGCUUUGUUUGCUUCGUUUUUUUGACAAGGUGUAUUUUUUGUUGUUCCUAUCGGCUACAUCCGCUGUUAGUUAUUAGCUUCAGAUAUGUGGGACAAAAGGAUUUUUCUCUUCCUUGCCCAACAAAAAUAUCCAUGGAGCAGCCUAUUUCUUCUGGAGGAAGUGUCUUCUUGUUACUAUUCCAAUAUAUUCAAUGAAAAAAAAAAGAUUGAAUUUAUGCUUGUUCUUUGCAGUCAUUCAUAUUGCUGCAUAGGGCAGAACAUGUAUGGAGUGCCAGUUAGUGUCAUCUAUGCAUGUUUUAUGUGGACUCUCCCACCAACAGUGGCUUACUGUGCCAUUAGCUGUUGUAAAUACUCUGAAAAUCCAAAUCUUUUUUUGAAACCAUCCUUGUAAAUGCUUCCCCAAAGGUUGUAUUUUAUGUUGCCUAAUAGCAAUUACUGUUACUAGGCAAAGAUGGGUUGUUACAUAAACCAUACAGAAAACACACUGCAUGUUUUAAUUAAAUGUUGCCAUUUGCCUUACUAAUAGUACUUCCCAGAUGAUAGUGUUUCUGUCGAGGGUAGAAAUUGUUAAGUUCCAUGCUUGGCUAAAGUAGUGUCCGUGCUGGAUAUGAUCUCAGAAGCCUACACCUGAAGACUUUGUGCUUUUUAAAACCUUUGUCAAUACCAUGCCAUAGACAAUUUUAAAUAUACCUUACCCAUAAAUCCUCUGCUUGAAUGGACAAAUUCAGCUGCAGCUGUAUAUAAUGCUGAAUUCCCCUUAAAUAACCAUUUAUAGUCAGUCCAUUAUUCUGUAGGUGAUUCUUUUUAAAAGAAGAAUAAAAGAACACCUAUAGCAGGCAGUUAUGAAAUGACCUGUCUGAAGCUCAACUUUGAGCUUUAGGGAUCACAUGAAGUCAUAUGCUUGCAACUUUUAUUUUCUAUAAAGUAAAUAUGGGUAUUCUCAUUGUGUGUUUGUGCGUUUAGCAAUUUGGUAUGUUGGUGGCCUUGCAAAACCAAUAUAUUAAUGUCUCAGUUUCACUGGAUGUCCCUUCUAUAAAAGGGCCUGGGGUUGUUUUGCUCAGCUGUCAUCCUGGGUCUCAAGCUGAUGCAGCUUCAGAUUUUUUCCUACUCUUUGAAUGGAAACUUUAUGCCUCCAUCUGUCGAUCUGUCUCACUCCUGUUACGCUUCAUCUGAGUUGGGAAGACCAAAACUGAAUCCAGUAAUCCAGUUUCAGACAUGACAGUGAUUUUAUAAUAAAUAACAGCAGAAUAUUUUCAGUGUUACUUUCUAUUCUGUUUUGGGUUUGGGGAUGUUGUGGAGAAAUAAAAAUGGAAGAACCA